UACAGAGGUCCCGAGCGUUGUUCGGAUUCAUUGGGCGUAAAGGGUGCGUAGGCGGCGUGGCAAGUCUGAUGUGAAAUCCCGGGGCUCAACCCCGGAACUGCAUUGGAUACUGCCUUGCUAGAGUACUGGAGAGGGAACUGGAAUUUACGGUGUAGCAGUGAAAUGCGUAGAGAUCGUAAGGAAGGCCAGUGGCGAAGGCGAGUUCCUGGACAGUAACUGACGCUGAGGCACGAAGGCCAGGGGAGCAAACGGG
rnacentral:rRNA from 1 species